AACGUAGGGGGCGAGCGUUAUCCGGAAUUACUGGGCGUAAAGGGCGUCUAGGCGGCCCGCUAAGUCUUGUGUGAAAUCUCCCGGCUCAACUGGGAGGGUGCAUGGGAAACUGGACAGGCUUGAGACUCGAAGGGGGGUGCGGAAUUCCCGGUGGAGCGGUGGAAUGCGUUGAUAUCGGGAGGAACACCCGAGGCGAAGGCGGCACCCUGGUCGAGGUCUGACGCUGAAGCGCGACAGCGUGGGGAGCGAACGGG
rnacentral:rRNA from 1 species